AUUGGUGCCCCCUAGUGGCCAAUUCAGUGAGCUCCGACUCGGUGCCCCCUAGUGGCCAGGAGUUCCCCAGGCCCCAGCUGGGUGCCCCCUAGUGGCCCAUUCAUUGAGCUCCGGCUCGGUGCCCCCUAGUGGCCAGGAGUUCCCCAGGCCCCAGCUGGGUGCCCCCUAGUGGCCCAUUCAGUGAGCUCCGGCUCGGUGCCCCCUAGUGGCCAGGAGUUCCCCAGGCCCCAGCUUGGUGCCCCCUAGUGGCCCAUUCAUUGAGCUCCGGCUCAGUGCCCCCUAGUGGCCAGGAGUUCCCCAGGCCCCAGCUGGGUGCCCCCUAGUGGCCCUUUCAGUGAGGUCCGGCUUGGUGCCCCCUAGUAGCCGAUUCAGUGAGCUCCGGCUCGGUGCCAUCUAGUGGCCAGGAGUUCCCCAGGCCCCAGCUCGGUGCCCCCUAGUGGCCCAUUCAUUGAGCUCCGGAUCGGUGCCCCCUAGUGGCCCAUUCAGUGAGCUCUGGAUCGGUGCCCCCUAGUGGCCAGGAGUCCCACAGGCGCCGAACGC